AAUGCGCAGAUAUCAGGAGGAACACCGGUGGCGAAGGCGGGUCUCUGGGCCGAAACUGACGCUGAGGAGCGAAAGCAUGGGGAGCAAACAGGAUUAGAUACCCUGGUAGUCCACGCUGUAAACGUUGGGCGCUAGGUGUGGGGACCAUUCCACGGUUUCUGUGCCGUAGCUAACGCAUUAAGCGCCCCGCCUGGGGAGUACGGCCGCAAGGCUAAAACUCAAAUGAAUUGACGGGGGCCCGCACAAGCGGUGGAGCAUGUGGUUUAAUUCGAUGCAACGCGAAGAACCUUACCAAGGCUUGACAUACACUGGACCGUUCUGGAAACAGUUCUUCUCUUUGGAGCUGGUGUACAGGUGGUGCAUGGCUGUCGUCAGCUCGUGCCGUGAGGUGUUGGGUUAAAGUCCCGCAACGAGCGCAACCCUCGUUCCAUGUUGCCAGCGGGUUAUGCCGGGGACUCAUGGGAGACUGCCGGGGUCAACUCGGAGGAAGGUGGGAUGACGUCAAAUCAUCAUGCCCCUUAUGUCCAGGGCUACACACGUGCUACAAUGGUUGGUACAGAGAGAAGCAAGACCGUGAGGUGGAGCCAAUCUCACAAAGCCAAUCUCAGUUCGGAUUGUAGGCUGCAACUCGCCUACAUGAAGCUGGAAUCGCUAGUAAUC
rnacentral:rRNA from 1 species